AUUGAACGCUGGCGGCAGGCCUAACACAUGCAAGUCGAACGAGUGGCGGACGGGUGAGUAAUGGCUGGGAAACUGCCCGAUGGAGGGGGAUAACUACUGGAAACGGUAGCUAAUACCGCAUACCAUCGGAUGUGCCCAGUUGGGAUUGGCUAGUAGGUGGGGUAACGGCUAACCUAGGCGACGAUCCCUAGCGGGGCUGAGAGGAUGACCGGCCACACUGGAACUGAGACACGGUCCAGACUCCUACGGGAGGCAGCAGUGGGGAAUAUUGCACAAUGGGCGAAAGCCUGACGCAGCCAUGCCGCGUGUAUGAAGAAGGCCUUCGGGUUGUAAAGUACUUUCAGCGAGGAGGCGUUACUCGCAGAAGAAGCACCGGCUAACUCCGUGCCAGCCGCCGCGGUAAUUC
rnacentral:rRNA from 1 species